GCUUGGCCUGGCUUUGUUGCCUGAACACUCGGUACCUGGCCUGUGUGUGUGGCUCUGGUGGCUUUUCACAGCCUGCCAGAGAGAGCACUGCAUUGUCCUGUGUGGAUAUUAAAACGAACACAGCUGCAGAUGGCCUGCCUCAGCAGCAAACGCCAGGCAUUCUUGCACCCUCCAGGUGCGAAGGAACUUCCAGGACCUGAAGCUGUUUAGGUGCCAGGCAUUGUCCCAGGCCAAGGCAAAGGCAACAAUGACUGUUGUCAACAGACUUUGCAUCAUGUGCCUGGGAGAUGCAGACAUACAGCCAGACAUCCCACAUUGUGAAUGUUUAAUAUUCUUAUGGAGCAGGGAGAGAGAACGCUGCCACAGCAUGGAGAGGGACGAGAAAGGAGACCGGCUCAAGCUGAAGACAGGGCAGCAGAGAGAGCAGUGUGUGGCUAGCUGUUUUAAGGUCCCUGCUGAGAGCAAAGCUGGAGAGCUGUUUUCUGGAAACUGAGAAUGCUUCCCACAGAGUGGUGGAGCGGAGCAGGAUCUGUGAUGGAGACGGAGACAGCAAUGGCAUCCUGAAUUUCCAAGGCACAAGCCCCAUGGAGAAAAAAAACCCAACCAGAGAGUCAUGUGGUCCCUUGUGUUUUCCAGCACCUCAGCCAAUGGGGCUGAUCCGCCCCACAGCACACACCAUCAUCAAGGGAGACCCCCCUCUGGAAGUCUCACAGAAGCCUGAAAAUCCUCUGUGUUUACUCUCUCAAACACUGGUGCGUUUGCCCCAGACCACAGCCAUUAGCACAGCUAAGGUGCGGUCUCUCCACAGGCAUAGCCACAAUUGCAUUACCUGGGCCCAAGUUCCUGAUAAAUGCAUUUCUUUGAUAUGGUGGUUAUUUAUUAUUCAAUAACUGUCCUGUUAAGCUUAAAUUAAUGGGAGUAUUUGAGAUCCAUCCCCAUGUAUUCUUCCAGUUGCUGGUGUCAAGGGAAUCUUGCCAGCUCUUUAAUAGCACCGUGCCCC